rnacentral:rRNA from 1 species
CCUACGGGAGGCAGCAGUGAGGAAUAUUGCGCAAUGGGGGAAACCCUGACGCAGCGACGCCGCGUGGAGGAUGAAGGCUUUAGGGUCGUAAACUCCUGUUAAGUGGGAAGAAAGAUCUCUUCGUAAUAUGUUGAGAUUAUGACGGUACCACUAGAGAAAGCACCGGCUAACUUCG